AACGAACGCUGGCGGCAUGCCUAACACAUGCAAGUCGAACGAGACCUUCGGGUCUAGUGGCGCACGGGUGCGUAACGCGUGGGAACCUGCCUUUAGGUUCGGAAUAACUCAGAGAAAUUUGAGCUAAUACCGGUUGAUGUCUUCGGACCAAAGAUUUAUCGCUUUUAGAUGGGCCCGCGUUGGAUUAGCUGGUUGGUGGGGUAAAGGCCGACCAAGGCGACGAUCCAUAGCUGGUCUGAGAGGAUGCUCCGCAGCACUGGGACUGAGACACGGCCCAGACUCCUACGGGAGGCAGCAGUAGGGUAUAUUAGACACUGGGCGAAAGCCUGGUACAGCCAUGCCGCGUGAGUGAUGAAGGCCUUAGGGUUGUACAUCUCUUUUAGCCGAGAUGAUAAUGACAGUAUCGGGAGAAUAAGCUCCGGCUAACUCCGUG
rnacentral:rRNA from 1 species